UUACCAAGUGAUCCAGAAUGCUCUGUAUCAGUGACCUGUCCUCUUCUUUAUUUACCACUUCCCUAAUCUUUGUCACCUGCAAAAUUUAUCAGUAAUGUUUUUAUGUUUUCUUUCAGGUCAUUGAAAAAUGUUUAAAUAG